rnacentral:rRNA from 2 species
CAGUGGAGCGUGUGGUUUAAUUCGAAGCAACGCGCAGAACCUUACCAGGUCUUGAACAUCCCCUGACAGCCUCAGAGAUGAGGUGUUCUGGUUUCCAGACAGGGAGACAGGUGUUGCAUGGUUGUCGUCAGCUCGUGUCGUGAGAUGUUGGGUUAAGUCCCGCAACGAGCGCAACCCCCGUUCUGUGUUGCCAGCGUAAAGUCGGGCACUCACAGGAGACUGCCGGAGACAAUUCGGAGGAAGGUGGGGAUGACGUCAAAUCCUCAUGGCCCUUAUGACCUGGGCUACACACGCGCUACAAUGGCCUGUACAGAGGGAAGCGAAAGAGCGAUCUGGAGCGAAUCUCACAAAACAGGUCUCAGUUCGGAUUGCAGGCUGAAACCCGCCUGCAUGAAGCCGGAAUUGCUAGUAAUCGCAGAUCAGCUACGCUGCGGUGAAUACGUUCUCGGGCCUU